rnacentral:rRNA from 1 species
UUGGCAGCGGUCCAAGUUCCUUGGAACAGGACGUCACAGAGGGUGAGAAUCCCGUACGUGGUCGCUAGCCUUUACCGUGUAAAGCCCCUUCGACGAGUCGAGUUGUUUGGGAAUGCAGCUCUAAAUGGGAGGUAAAUUUCUUCUAAAGCUAAAUACUGGCCAGAGACCGAUAGCGCACAAGUAGAGUGAUCGAAAGAUGAAAAGCACUUUGGAAAGAGAGUUAAAAAGCACGUGAAAUUGUUGAAAGGGAAGCGCUUGCAGCCAGACUUGCCUGUAGUUGCUCAUCCGGGUUUUUACCCGGUGCACUCUUCUACGGGCAGGCCAGCAUCAGUUUGGGCGGUUGGAUAAAGGUCUCUGUCAUGUACCUCCUCUCGGGGAGAACUUAUAGGGGAGACGACAUGCAACCAGCCCGGACUGAGGUCCGCGCAUCUGCUAGGAUGCUGGCGUAAUGGCUGUAAGCGGCCCGUCUUGAAACACGGACCAAGGAGUCUAACAUCUAUGCGAGUGUUUGGGUGUCAAGCCCGAGCGCGUAAUGAAAGUGAACGGAGGUGGGAACCUUUCGGGGUGCACCAUCGACCGAUCCUGAUGUCUUCGGAUGGAUUUGAGUAAGAGCAUAGCUGUUGGGACCCGAAAGAUGGUGAACUAUGCUUGAAUAGGGUGAAGCCAGAGGAAACUCUGGUGGAGGCUCGCAGCGGUUCUGACGUGCAAAUCGAUCGUCAAAUUUGGGCAUAGGGGCGAAAGACUAAUCGAACUAUCUAGUAGCUGGUUCCUGCCGAAGUUUCCCUCAGGAUAGCAGUAACGUUUUCAGUUUUAUGAGGUAAAGCGAAUGAUUAGAGGACUGGGGGAUGAAACAUCCUUCACCUAUUCUCAAACUUUAAAUAUGUAAGAAGUCCUUGUUACUUAAUUGAACGUGGACAGUUGAAUGUAUCGUUACUAGUGGGCCAUUUUUGGUAAGCAGAACUGGCGAUGCGGGAUGAACCGAACGCGGGGUUAAGGUGCCAGAAUAUACGCUCAUCAGACACCACAAAAGGUGUUAGUUCAUCUAGACAGCAGGACGGUGGCCAUGGAAGUCGGAAUCCGCUAAGGAGUGUGUAACAACUCACCUGCCGAAUG